AUGGUUGGACAAGGUAGUAUUACACAAAGUGACCUGGAGUAUAUGCUAGUUGAUGAGACCACAGAGCCCAUUGCGGUGCCAUUGUCACUUUUGUCAGAAAUCACAGAUGAUUUCUCGCUGGAAAUUGGCAGUGGUGGCUUUUCAAUUGUUUAUAAGGCAACACUUGAGAAUGGAACUAUCGCUGUAAAGAAACUGUCCAAUACACACAUGUACGAGGAAGAAUUUCACCGAGAGGUCGAAUGUCUCAUGAAGGUGAAGCACAAGAAUAUUGUACGAUUUCUGGGGUAUUGUGCUGACACACAAGGGAAUAUGAAAAGUCACGAGGGAAGAUUGGUCAUGGGAGAUGUACAACAAAGAUUGCUCUGCUUUGAGUAUCUACCAAAAGGAAGCCUUGAUGCUUAUAUCAGGGAUUCAUCUAGAGAACUUGAAUGGAGAGAAUGCUACCAAGUAAUAAAAGGGAUCUGCGAGGGGUUAAAUUAUCUUCACCAAGAAAAUGUUCUGCACUUGGAUCUAAAGCCAGGAAAUAUAUUGUUGGAUGAAGAUAUGAUGCCGAAAAUUACUGAUUUUGGACUUUCAAGGUGUCUUGUGGAAAAUCAAACACGGCUCAUUACUAAAGGUGUAGGAGGAACGCUGGGAUACUUGGCACCAGAAUUCGAAAGCGGUGAAAUCACACACAAGUUUGACUUGUAUAGUCUUGGUGUCAUAAUUAUAGAGAUGCUGACCGGAAAGAAGGGCUAUCAAAACAUUCAGGAUGUACUUGAUAUUUGGAAAAAUACUAUGGUGGAUCCAUUGCAGUGGGAACAAAUACGAGUAUGUGCUAGGAUUGGGAUAGAGUGCAAAGAAGCCGACCCGGCGAAGAGACCUUCUAGUAUGAAGCAUAUAAUUGAUAGUCUUGAUGAAACUGAGUGUAGAACGCAUGUGAACCCAGCAGGUGGGAUAAGCGAGCUUCUUCUCCCUCACCAGUUCAUGCUUUGCUUCCCCUUUGAACCCAACAAGGUUAUCACGUCCCCGCUGCAUCUAACAAACAACACAGAUAAACACAUUGCAUUUAGGCUUAUCGACAAGAGCAUGGAUCCCUCCUUCCUCAGCCUACCAUUGUAUGGCAUUGUGCCGCCAAAAACCCCUUACACUCUCGUCGUGACAACACAAGAGACAGAGCAGCAACCACGAAAGCAUAUCAUAGAUGUGGUCCUCCACAGUGCUACGUUAAUAUUGGGGAAUGAGUUGUACUAUAUAAAUGCUUUCCAAAGCCGGCCAGACACGUAUUUUCAAGAGAUGGAGAAUGAAGUGCAGAAGGUUAAACUACAAGCACUUUAUACUCUGGCACGAGGCAUUGCAACAUCGUUGUCUAAGCCAGUCUCGCCCACAACCAAGAUAAUAUGCAUGGUAAAAGUCGGCAGCAAGUAUUCCUUAGACACAAACGAAGUAAAGCAAUGGAUAGUAAUCGGAGAUGACAGUGGACAUGUUGGCCUUUGGGACUAUCAGACACAGAGAAAAGUGGAUUCGUUUAAAGUCUCAGUUUCAGCGACAGAUGGCAUGAUUUCUGACCUCUGUUAA
rnacentral:rRNA from 1 species